AGCGAGGUAGUGACAAUAAAUAACGAGGCAUAACUCUUCGAGUUUUGCCAUCGGAAUGAGAACAAUUUAAACCCCUUAUCGAGGAUCAAUUGGAGGGCAAGUCUGGUGCCAGCAGCCGCGGUAAUUCCAGCUCCAAUAGCGUAUAUUAAAGUUGUUGCAGUUAAAAAGCUCGUAGUUAGAUUUUGGAUUGGUACUACUGACCCGUUGGGUUCGCCUGAUGUGUGUCGGUUUUACUAUUCUUCUGUCUGGUAAUAAUAUUUGAUCUUAACGGAACAUUUAUUAGGACUAGGCCGUUUACCUUGAAUAAAUUGGAGUGUUCAAAGCAGGCCAAUGCAAUUGUACAUCUUAGCAUGGGAUAAUAAAAUAAGACUUUGAUCUUAUUUUGUUGGUUUCCGAGAUUGAAGUAAUGAUUAAUAGGGAUAGUCGGGGGCAUUAGUAUUUGGCAGCCAGAGGUAAAAUUCUUAGACUUGCCAAAGACUAACUACUGCGAAAGCAUUUGCCAAGGAUGUUUUCAUUAAUCAAGAACGAAAGUUAGGGGAGAGAAGGCGAUUAGACACCGCCGUAUUCCUAACCAUAAACUAUGCCGACUAGGGAUUGGAAGAUGUUCCAAUCGACUCCUUCAGCACCUUAUGAGAAAUCAAAGUCUUGGGCUCUGGGGGGAGUAUGGUCGCAAGGCUGAAACUUAAAGGAAUUGACGGAAGGGCACCACCAGGAGUGGAGCCUGUGGCUUAAUUUGACAACACGGGGAAACUUACCAGGUCCAGACAUAGUAAGGAUUGACAGAUUGAGCCUCUUUCUUGAUUCUAUGGGUGGUGGUGCAUGGCCGUUCUUAGUUCGUGGAGUGAUUUGUCUGCUUUAUUGCGAUAACGAACGAGACCCCCGCCUGCUAAAUAGACGGAUGAACUUUGGUUCAUACCGCCUUCUUAGAGGGACUACCUGCGCAAGCAGGGGGAAGCUGGGGGCAAUAACAGGUCUGUGAUGCCCUUAGAUGUUCUGGGCCGCACACGCGCUACACUGGUUAGGCCAUCGAGUUUGUCCUAGACCGAUAGGUCCGGGUAAUCUUUUAAACCUAGCCGUGAUGGGGAUAGACCCUUGUAAUUAUUGGUCUUCAACGAGGAAUUCCUAGUAAACACAAGUCAUCAGCUUGUGUUGAUUACGCCCCUGCCCUUUGUACACACCGCCCGUCGCUUGUACCGAUUGGAUGAUCCGGUGAGAACUACGGACUGCUACGGAAUGAUUGUUACAAUCAAUUCGAUGAGGGAAGUUGUUCAAACCUUAUUUUCUAGAGGAACAAGAAGUCGUAACAAGGUU
rnacentral:rRNA from 1 species